rnacentral:rRNA from 1 species
AUGAUUUUACAGUUCAUUUGGUGUCAACAAUGGGUGGCAGUAAACUGCAUUGCUACUAAGUGCGGAGUAAGGACUAAGCAUUUGUCUUAUUAUACACACAUUACAUAUAUCAAAAUGACCAUGAAGGAUAUAGUUGUUUCCUCAGCUUUUGUCUACCAAGGACGUGAUGGAUCCAAAGAAGUUUCUGAUGCAGAGUUAGCUUUGGAAGGAACAUCUUCUGCUCACUGUUUACAUGCUGGUGGUACUCUUGGUGUUUUGCCAACUGGAAAGAAGAUAGUUAGCAUGGGCAUCAUUCAUUCAUCAAUGCCAAAACACAAAAGGCUUAGACAACAAAAAAGAAUGCCCGUUUUUCAGUGGUCUAUUGAAGAAAAAUCAAAGGGGGCAAAAGAUAAUACUCCCUCCGUUUCGAUUUACUCGUCGUGGUUUUAG